rnacentral:rRNA from 1 species
UUAAAUUGAAGAGUUUGAUCAUGGCUCAGAUUGAACGCUGGCGGCAGGCUUAACACAUGCAAGUCGAACGGUAACAGGAAA